GUGUGAGUGUUGCUUCCGGGCACAGGAUCCUUAAAGGAGGCAGCGCUAGUACAACUCACCCUCCCUCCUGCCUAGGUCAUCUAGACACUCCUUGGAAAACCCGUCCUCCAUUGUCUGGAUUUGUUUCCUUGAUCCGUACAACAGAGGGUCACACAUCUGCUGGUCUCCUGGUGGCUUCUGCCUCUACUUUCCUCCCAGCCGUGUCAGAACCUCAGCUCCAAAUUCCUUCCCAGACUCUGCAGCUCCUUCAGGGACCUUCACACCACCAGUGACUCCUGACCCAACCCAGGACUUCACUGGCCACACCCUCAACUCGUCCAGGAAGGCUUCUGGACCCAAGGGUCAGCCCAGACCCAUAAGGCACUGCUCCAAGCCCUUGCCUAAGAUCUCCGUGGGAGCCCAGAGGACAGCAGAACCAACCUUCUCUGACCCUCACACCCAGGGCCUAUAUCUGAGGAGUUGCUGCAGAAUGAAAUUCAGGAAUUAAGGAGAGGGAUGGUCAAGUUUACAAGAAUUCACUCUGCAGCGCAGUUCCUGGCACCUGACCUGCUUUCUACAGAGAAAACACUCGGAAUUCAUGCCCUGAAGAGCAUAGAUCCAGGCCCCGAUCCCAGCACCUUCGCCAGUCUUCAGAAAGUGAAUCCUAGAGGAUGGUGACUCGGCCAGGGGCUCCCCUUCUUCCUCUCCCCUUACAGGCUCUUCUCCAUUCUGGCUAAGCAUGGAACAAAAACUUUGUUCUAGAUCUACCAGUUCCAUGUCUACGACCAGUGCACAAGAACCAAACUAUUCUGCUUCUGCUAACUCCUCCAUCUUUAGUCUACCAAUGACUUGGUUCUUAGGAUUCCCUGACACUUGGAAUCUCCCAGUUCCAUUUAAGUGUUACUUGACAGUCUCAAGUUCAGAGAAGGGACAACAGAUAGUGGUUCUGUUGUGUCUGAGAAAUAAGGCCAGCAACUGUGUGCCCUUGCACUGAACUGUGCCUCUUGACUGGCAUGCUAAAGUGAUGUCCUUUGUAAAUCCUAGGGCAGAAGCUGAGUCAAACUCAGGAGCUCUUCUUAGUUCUCUCCAUUUUUUUUAAGUUUGCCAAUUUCACAAGUGUUAUUUCCUCUCUGAUUACAGCACUGUUGACAGCUGCCGUUUGUCCAACUGACGUGCAAAGCCUGGGAAAACAUGGCAGUGGGGUGUAGCUUUGGCUCAUCCUGGAUGGGCCUCAGACUCCAGUUGCCCUGUUGAGCUCGUCUAAGGUCUACCCUGGGCUAGAAGUGUCAAGGGCAGGAAGUGCAGCCCUAGGGAUUUCCUCUUUGUAGCCAUCAGCUUCAAGGGCCUUGUUCUCUUCCCACUACCUUUUACCUUCAUUUUUUUCACAUCCUCCCCUCAGGGUUUGUGUGCUCCCCAUGGAGAGGCUUGGCCAUUAUGAACAUAGCCUAUCAAAUUUAGAAUGAGUUAGAGACAAAACUUCUACCUGGCUGGGACCUCUCACUGGGAACUUCCUCUGGGGACAUUUAGAUGAUCUAAGAGCCACCUCUCCUAGAGCCCCUUUGUUUUAAACCGGAUAUAAAGUGCUUGGUGCACACACAUGCACCACCUUCACAACAGAGGCCUGUCUCGGAACUGGAGCACUUCCUGGAGGUGGUUCCUAACUGUCCAAUCCUACCUUGUGGCUGUGCAGAUGGGGUCGGCCCUUAUCAUGUACUACUAAAUAGCAAAAGAAUAAAGCUGCCUGUUUAUAAUACCCAAGAAUAUUGAAUAUUCAAGGGAUGGACCAAAAAAAAAAAAAGGCAAAAUUCCCAAAAAAUGUCAUUGUCCCAUGCCGAAAAACUUGGUAUUCCUGCAGGGACUGCAGUGCUCUCAACUCCAG
ensembl:lncRNA